GGUUAGAAAGCGAAACAUCGCACUUAGUUUCGACCUAAGCCUUGGUACCUCUACCUCUAACCA
rnacentral:tRNA from 1 species